UGAUGAUGAUGAUGAUAAUGAUGAGGUUGAUGGUAAUGAUGAUGAUGAUAAUCAUCAUAAUGUUAGGCAUCACUGUCAUUAUUAUCACCAUCUUCCUCGCCAUUAUCAUCACCA
rnacentral:pre_miRNA from 1 species